rnacentral:rRNA from 1 species
UGUUGAUUGUCUUGUUUUAAGUGUUUUGGUUUGCUUUAAGGUAUUUUAAUUAAAAUAUUAUUUUGUUGUUGUAUUGUUUUGAUUUAAUUUUUUUACUAUAGGUUAUUUGUACUGUGAGGGGUUGUUUGGGUUGUAAUGUUUUUUUAGAAGCUGAUUUUGUUUAUUGUACCUUGUGUAUCAGGGUUCAUUGAAUUUUAUUAUUUAUUUUUAUUUCCCGAUUUUAAAGGAGUUAAUGACUUAUGUUAGUUACUGUUUCAUUAGUAUUAAUAAUAGGUGGUUGGUAGUGAAAUGUUAUUCGUCUUUAGUGGUUUCUGGUUUUUCAAGAAAUGAAUUUAAUUCAUACAUCUUAUUUAAUUUCUGUUGUUGGUUUAUUUAUUUUUAUUUGAUGUUAAGAUUAAGGGGGAUUAGCUCCUUGUUUUACUUUUAUAAUUGGUUAUUGUUUAAUUUAGUUUUGUGGAUUUUAUAGUGAUUUUCUAUUUGAUUAUGUUAAAAUUUUAUUUGUUAUUUUUUUAAUUUUUUGUUAUUUAAGUUAUUUAUUGAAAUGUUUUCUUUACUUUUGGUUUGUAUAGUAAUUAUUGUGNNNNNNNNUUAGAGGCAUUGGUUUAUUGAAUUUGGUUUUUGAGUUAAAAUUCUUAAAUGUUUUUAUGGGACGAGAAGACCCUAUAGAGUUUGACAGGUUUCUUAUUUAUUCUUUGUUUGUUUUGUUACAUUAAAUUGGGAAUACUGUUUUGUUGGGGUGAUGGGAGGAUAAAAUUUAACUCUUCUUUGUUUUUGUAUAUUUAUGUAUAUUUUUUUGAUCCAUUUAUUUUGAUUAUAAGAUUAAAUUACCUUAGGGAUAACAGCGUUAUCUUCCUUGAGAGUUCUUAUUGGCGGGGAGGUUUGCGACCUCGAUGUUGGAUUAAGAUGAAUUUUCGGUGCAGGAGCUGAAAGUGAUUAGGUCUGUUCGACCUUUAAAAUCUUACAUGAUCUGAGUUCAGACCGGCGUGAGCCAGGUUGGUUUCUAUCUAUAGAAUUGUUUUAUAUCUUAGUACGAGAGGACCGGAUAUUUGGAAUAAGUUUCAGUUAUUACAUUGGUUUUUGUUAAUG